rnacentral:rRNA from 1 species
UAGGGAAUCUUCGGCAAUGGGGGGAACCCUGACCGAGCAACGCCGCGUGAGUGAAGAAGGUUUUCGGAUCGUAAAGCUCUGUUGUUAAGGAAGAACGAGUGUGAGAAUGGAAAGUUCAUACUGUGACGGUACUUAACCAGAAAGGGACGGCUAACUACGUGCCAGCAGCCGCGGUAAUACGUAGGUCCCGAGCGUUGUCCGGAUUUAUUGGGCGUAAAGCGAGCGCAGGCGGUUAGAUAAGUCUGAAGUUAAAGGCAGUGGCUCAACCAUUGUAGGCUUUGGAAACUGUUUAACUUGAGUGCAGAAGGGGAGAGUGGAAUUCCAUGUGUAGCGGUGAAAUGCGUAGAUAUAUGGAGGAACACCGGUGGCUAAAGCGGCUCUCUGGUCUGUAACUGACGCUGAGGCUCGAAAGCGUGGGGAGCGAACAGG